AACCGUUCAUCCUAAUUUAAGGACGCAGUUCGAGCUAUUCCAGGGAACGGGGGUAUAGC
rfam:Marine metagenome 1096626251351, whole genome shotgun sequence.